UUAAAAAUUGAUAUUUAUUCAUUAAUAAGAUGAUAUUAUUUGAUUUAUUGAUGGUAUAUAAAGUUUAUACAUUAUGUGUUUCAAAUAUAAAUUUAUAAAUUUUUAUAAGACUUUAAAAUAAAUAUACAAAAAUUUAAUUUUUUAAACUUUUUCAUUAAUAAUGUAGCAUCAUAUGAUUAAUUGAUGAUAUUAAAAUUUAUAAUCUAUUAGUGUAUCAAAUAUAAGUUUUAAGUUGCCCCCCCCCCCAAAAAAAAAGAAGAGAAAUAUUUGAAAUCAAAAUUAAAUUGCAAUUUUUUAAAAUUUCUAAUUAAGUUCCAAAGAUACGUAAAAUAAAGCAUGGUUACAUCUACAUCUAACUGCCUACUGGGCAAGCUUCAACUUCAAAGUCACCUGAUUUGGCACCAGCCAAAGGAGUAGGAGCAGCAGCUGGGGAACCACCAUAACCAUCCAUGGGAGUCAGAAUAGCAGCAGAAGUCGUAGUAGGAGCAUGGACACUGGGAAAAGAUUCAAUCGAUCCAGCUCUUGUAACAAAGCAGUAGGCAAGCCUUAGUGGGGACCAUCCAUACCUCUAAGCCCGAGCCUGUUCAUGACUAGGCUAAUAAAAAAAAGUCUCAAGCAGGGAAACGCGGGAUGGAAGGCGGAAAAGGCUUGGCUUUGUUUCACAGAACUAAGGAAAUUUCGUUUCCGUAGUGGUGAUGCUGAGCUUUCUCAUCGAAGAAGAAAAGCGGGCUCUGUAUGCCUGGUGGAAUGGAAAGCUUUGAAUGGUCUUGAAAAAGUCUUUGAAAGCUCAACACUCGAGAAGUUGCUUCGCACCUCAUGUGGCAAUGAGGUAGCGUAAGAUUUUCAGUAAAAUGAGAAACUGAUACAAUGUUACCCUUCCCAACAGCCUAUGUUUGUCUGAAUCAAAGCCUACCCUGCCUUGUCUUGAAAGAAAGAACUGCCUCGGACUCAACCCAAGUAGAAGAUUUGUUAAUCCUAACU
rnacentral:lncRNA from 1 species